CGGCCAGUGGGGGAGUGAUUAAACGCAUCUCCGUAUCAAGGAGACUGUCGUGGGUUCGAAUCCUGUCUGGUUGA
rnacentral:tRNA from 1 species